rnacentral:misc_RNA from 1 species
UUCUUCAAAAGCAAGGACUACCUUGCCUCUAAAGCCAGCUGCCGGUCCUCUUGGAGGAUUGUGCAGAGAAGGUAUCCCAACAAACUUUACUCUAUCACCUUCUUUAAAUGUGUAGAUUUUGGAUGAUGCAGUAGAAGUUUCCUGCUUUGGCAGACCCUGAGAGCUUGUUGUGGAGCCACCGGUAAUAUCAGCCUCAACACUAGAAGUUGGUUUCUUAUGAUGAAAUGCAGCCUGGACAGCUCGUUUGGCGAAAACUGACGUUCUUUCAGGCUUUGUACUUUCUUUCGCAGAGUCAGCUUCUUUGGGUGUUGACCCACCGGGCAACAGAAGUGAAUCAAUGACUAGAAGUCUAGCACUGAUAUCUUUGGCAAGUGCCUUUACCAGAGUCUCCUGAUAUAUUUCCGAUCCUGCAGGACCAGAUAAUAA